AACGAACGCUGGCGGCAGGCCUAACACAUGCAAGUCGAACGGGUCCUUCGGGGACUAGUGGCGGACGGGUGAGUAACGCGUGGGAACGUGCCCCUUAGUACGGGACAACGUCGGGAAACUGACGCUAAUACCGUAUAAUAUCUCCGGAUCAAAGAUUUAUCGCUGAGGGAGCGGCCCGCGUCUGAUUAGCUAGUUGGUGAGGUAAUGGCUUACCAAGGCUACGAUCAGUAGCAGGUCUGAGAGGAUGAUCUGCCACACUGGGACUGAGACACGGCCCAGACUCCUACGGGAGGCAGCAGUUAGGAAUAUUGGACAAUGGGCGAAAGCCUGAUCCAGCCAUGCCGCGUGUGUGAUGAAGGCCCUAGGGUUGUAAAGCACUUUCGUUGGGGAUGAUAAUGACCGUACCCAAAGAAGAAGCACCGGCUAACUUCGUG
rnacentral:rRNA from 1 species